rnacentral:rRNA from 1 species
CUACGGGCGGCUGCAGUGGGGAAUAUUGGACAAUGGGGGCAACCCUGAUCCAGCCAUGCCGCGUGUGUGAAGAAGGCCUUUUGGUUGUAAAGCACUUUAAGCAGGGAGGAGAGGCUAAUGGUUAAUACCCAUUAGAUUAGACGUUACCUGCAGAAUAAGCACCGGCUAAGGCUGUGCCAGCAGCCGCGGUAAUACAGAGGGUGCGAGCGUUAAUCGGAAUUACUGGGCGUAAAGCGAGUGUAGGUGGCUCAUUAAGUCACAUGUGAAAUCCCCGGGCUUAACCUGGGAACUGCAUGUGAUACUGGGGGUGCUAGAAUAUGUGAGAGGGAAGUAGAAUUCCAGGUGUAGCGGUGAAAUGCGUAGAGAUCUGGAGGAAUACCGAUGGCGAAGGCAGCUUCCUGGCAUAAUAUUGACACUGAGAUUCGAAAGCGUGGGUAGCAAACAGGAUUAGAUACCCCCGUAGUC